UACCAGGGUUCCAAUAAUUGGGUUGGGUUAUGGUUCAAAUAUAAUGGUCCUAUGUCGGGAUUACAUUAUUUUAACUGAUUAACCACUAUUCGUUUAUAUAAAUACAUUUUAUAUAAAUUUUAUGCGACGUGUAUGGUAGUUAUAACCUCCAUAUAUUUGUAGAAUAGAUAUACCGUUACCUUAAAUGUUACCAUGUCAAAUUCUUAGUUUUAUCAGAAGUAUAAAAAAAUGCAUCUUGGUAGCAGGUACCCAACGCUUCUCUUGACAGUCCGGACCACUUGACUGUUAUCUACCACAGAAGUGGACAUUGCGGGCGCAGCACACAUACAUGAUUUUUCUUAUUUUGGGAAAUUGCAACCUAUGCACUAUGGUUCGUGUAGAACAAGCUAGCUGGACAAAAGUUACUUUCACAUUCCUUCGAAAUUCUUAUCAAUACUGAUAAACAACACCCUGACGAUAAUGAAUCCACGUCUAAUUAUCCACAUAAUUACUUAAUAAGGGAGUAAUUAAGGUGAGUAUAUAAUGCAUAGUGAUAUUUUUGCAGUAAUCAUUUGCAAAAGUGCGUUUGGAUUGUCAUCUUACUGUGUGUGUAUUAGAAACCUUGUGAAUAAUUUUAGUGUUGAAUAUAGAGCAUAAAGAUGCCGUGUAUGAAGUGUCAAGGAAGGACUUUUUUGAACAAUGGCUAAAACACCCAAAGUUAACCAAAAAUGAAGAUUUGUUUCGCUUUGUUUUAUCAAGACAUGACUUCAGUGGGGUUGCCGAAGAAUCUAUUAGAAAUAUAAAAAAAGCGGCCAAGAGCAUGUCGGGCCACGCUCAGUGUAGGGUUCCGUAGUUACUCUUCCGUCACAAUAAGCUAAACUGGAGCUUAAAGUAUAGUAAAUUGUUAACCAAGGGAUGAAACGGUACCUUUCACCCGAGUUAAACAAAUAGGCAAAUUUGCAUAAUCAGUACCUAAUUAAAGUAAGUCUUUUUACUAUGAAGGGAAAACUUUUUGCGAUAACUCAAAAACAGCUAAACUGAUCAUGUCCGCUAUAGUUUUCAUUUAAUGUCUUUCUUAAGCUCUACUUCCACGAUUUUUUUCAUAUUUUUUGGACCUAUGGUUCAAAAGUUAGAGGGGGGGACACAUUUUUUUUUUCUUUCGGAGCGAUUAUCUCCGAAUAUAUUCACUUUAUCAAAAAAUGUUUCUUGAAAACCCCUAUUAGUUUUGAAAGACCUUUCCAACGAUACCCCACACUCUAGGGUUGAAGCGAAAAAAAAAAUUCACCCCCACUUUACGUGUAGGGGAGGUACCCUAAAAAAAAUUAAAUUUUUUGAUUUUAUUGUACGACUUUGUCGGCUUUAUUGAUUUAUAUAUCCAUGCCAAAUUUCAGCUUUCUAGCACUAACGAACACGGUGCAAAGCCUCGGACAGACAGACAGACAGACAGACAGACAGACAGACAGACAGACAGACGGACAUGGCGAAACUAUAAGGGUUCCGUUUUAUGCCAUUUGGCUACGGAACCCUAAAAAUGAAAUUGCGAAAAUUUCAGCUAUUAUUGAUGAAAAAUGGAAACACGCAGGAAAAAAACCAGAACGGUUUAAAAAUAAGCACAUAGAGUGGUUACAAGGUGCAGAUUUAUCUUUUGGAGUGUCAAUAAUACCUUGCUCCCCAUCAGGGUCAUCAGAUUGCACUGAAAAACCUGGUCGACCUCAGAAGACAUAAAAAAUCGUUUGAAAACUACAAUGGGCCUGAUUGUCGAUAAACCAAAACCAGGAAGUGGCAAUACAAAUGAUGGAAAUACCGCUCGAAGGUUUUUUGAGAACUACGAAUUGAGUGCACAGAUAACAGGGUUAGACGUUUCAAUAAUAAAACAAUUUAAUAUCUUGCUUCGUGUUUUAUCUUCAGGACAUGAAAUUGAUUUAGUAAAGUUAAAAGAAUUUAUGCUAUUGAUUAGAGAAAAUUAUUUAAAGCUCUAUUUGUGGUAUUUCAUGCCCGUUACUGUGCAUAAACUGCUUGUGCAUAGUACCGAGGUGAUAAAAUCAGCACUUUUACCUAUUGGGCAGCUAUCUGAAGAAGCUCAAGAAGCUCGUAAUAAAGAUUGUAGGAGAUUUCGUGAGCAUAACACACGAAAACGGUCACGUAUUGCUACGAAUAGAGAUUUACUUAAUAUGCUGUUGAUAACCUCUGACCCUGUUAUUAACAGUUUAAGAGAUGUACCGCGAAAAAAAGUUGGAAAGUUACCUUCUGAGGUUUUAGAUUUACUAAUAUCCCCUAGUAUUAAGAUAAGUAACAUAAGUUUAGAUAAUGUCAAUAAUUUUCACGAUUAUUCCACAAAUGAUUCAUCUGAUAAUAGUGAUGACGACUAACAAUAUUAUUUGAUAUUUAAGUUAAAAAAAUAGGCUAAAUGUAGUUAAUAAUAUUUUUUGUAUACAUUUUUUAUUUAUUUUUCCAAUAAAUAUAUUUUUAGAUGUAUGUUUUCCAUGUAAAGGAACAUUAAAUAAGUUAAGUAUAUUAA